AUGUCACUACAUAUUUCUCAUAAUUGCAUAUGUAUAAGUUCAUAAUUGCAUAUGUACUAAAAAUAGAACCGCCCAUCUCGUAUGUACUACCUGUCAGUUUUGUUUUGAAUUAAGCAUUUCUUAGGUUAGAAAUGAGAGAUUUCGGGUUACGUACGCUUAACUUUGUAGGUUUAUUUGAAAAACAAUUAAUACAGGAACUUGAUCCACCCCUAUGACGAGAUAUGUGCGAUAUUUAUAAAAUGGGAUGAAAUAAACUUGUAAAAUACCUGAAGUCAUUGGCAAGUUCAGGCAACGUUACUUAACGACAGAUACCUUCGCUGAUACAAAUAUUCUGCAUGAGCAUGAAUAAGCAUAAUGGAUUAUCGGAAGCCCCAUUUGAAGAUUAUGCUAGGUAUAACCUAUAAGUUUCAGCCUUUUACGAAGAGAAAUAUGUUUCGUACAACAUAUGUGGUAUUGUUGUCGAAAUUGUGCCACGAUACAAAACAAUAACAUAUUGUAAACUCGUUGACAAUAAAGGAUACAAAUUGUCGUAGCACUUAACCACA